rfam:TPA: Bos taurus chromosome 15, whole genome shotgun sequence.
UUCCUGGUGGCUCAGACAGCAAAGCAUCUGCCUGCAAUGCAGGAGACCUGGGUUCAAUCCCCCGGUCAGGAAG